UACGUAGGGUCCGAGCGUUGUCCGGAAUUAUUGGGCGUAAAGAGCUCGUAGGCGGUCUGUCGCGUCGGUCGUGAAAACUUGGGGCUUAACCCUGAGCUUGCGGUCGAUACGGGCAUGACUGGAGUUCGGCAGGGGAGACUGGAAUUCCUGGUGUAGCGGUGAAAUGCGCAGAUAUCAGGAGGAACACCAGUGGCGAAGGCGACUUCCUGGCCUGUUCUUGACGCUGAGGCGCGAAAGCUAGGGUAGCAAACGGG
rnacentral:rRNA from 1 species